rnacentral:rRNA from 1 species
AGAGUUUGAUCAUGGCUCAGGACGAACGCUGGCGGCAUGCCUAACACAUGCAAGUCGAACGGUAAGGCCUCUUCGGAGGUACACGAGUGGCGAACGGGUGAGUAACACGUGGGUAACCUGCCCUUCACUGGGGGACAACCGAGGGAAACUUCGGCUAAUACCGCAUAACGUGCGCUGUUUUAAGACGGCGUACCAAAACUCCGGUGGUGAAGGAUGGGCCCGCGCCAGAUUAGCUUGUUGGUGGGGUAGUGGCCUACCAAGGCGACGAUCUGUAGCUGGUCUGAGAGGACGAUCAGCCACACUGGAACUGAGACACGGUCCAGACUCCUACGGGAGGCAGCAGUGGGGAAUCUUGCGCAAUGGGCGAAAGCCUGACGCAGCAAUGCCGCGUGAGGGAAGAAGGCCUUAGGGUCGUAAACCUCUUUCAGCAGGGACGAAAACAGACGGUACCUGCAGAAGAAGCCCCGGCUAACUACGUGCCAGCAGCCGCGGUAAUACGUAGGGGGCAAGCGUUGUCCGGAAUCAUUGGGCGUAAAGCGCGUGUAGGCGGACUGGAAGGUCUGGUGUGAAAGCCCGGGGCUCAACCCCGGAGGGUCACUGGAAACCGACAGUCUUGAGUCCGGAAGAGGAGAGUGGAAUUCCUGGUGUAGCGGUGGAAUGCGCAGAUAUCGGAGGAACACCUAUGGCGAAGGCAGCUCUCUGGUACGUGACUGACGCUGAGNNNCGAAAGCGUGGGGAGCGAACAGGAUUAGAUACCCUUGUAGUCC